rnacentral:lncRNA from 1 species
UGGAUCAACAACUGUGAAUGGAUGGAAAGCGUGAAAAUCUGUGAAGGGCUUUUGGAAGGAUGCAGUGUGCGUCGUACACCGAAGUCAUACUGCAACAGGAGCAGAAGCGGCUGUGUUUGCAUUGCCCGCUCACAGUUAAAAGCUUUCUGUGCUUGAGAAAGAGCGUCCAUCGCUGUUUACAUAGGUAGAAAAAACUUCACAUUUCAGAAUCCCGAAGCCAGCAGUAAGCAGCAGCCAGCAGUGCCUCCUGCCUACUCUUUCUGAAGAUGCUCAAGCCAAGAUAUCCUCCAGGCUGUUAAAGUUUAAAACAAAAGGCAGAACCGGGGAUGGUGCUGGGUGCAGGUCAGUGAGCCCCCAGCCCUGGGGGGCGAAUGACACUGACAGCACUGCCCGCAGCUGCUGUGCUCCCAUGAGAUCCUCCUUCCCAGAACGCCUCCACCGGUAACUGAAAUUUGUCUGCCUUCUGCAUCUGAUCUCCUUAUUUUCUUCUCAUAUGCCUUUUUAAUGCUGUUUGUAGCCAUUUCAAUUAUGUGAUUUCCUUAUCUGUAUACCAUUGAGAAUACUGUACAAGACUUUAUAAACAGCUACUAAGUCUAUCUGCCUGUCAUUUGGUUUUCAUUACGCGAGAUAACAAUCCUUCUCAUAUCUUAUAAGAAGAUAUAAUAUGAUUGUUUCCAAACGGAGAGGGGGAAAAAAGUCUAGUCUGCAUUAUAC